ACGGGAGGCAGCAGUGAGGAAUAUUGGUCAAUGGGCGAGAGCCUGAACCAGCUAAGUCGCGUGAGGGAAGACGGCCCUAUGGGUUGUAAACUUCUUUUGCCGGGGGAUAAAGUCUGGGAUGCGUCCCAGAUUGCAGGUACCCGGUGAAUAAGGAUCGGCUAACUCCGUGCCAGCAGCCGCGGUAAUACGGAGGAUCCGAGUGUUAUCCGGAUUUAUUGGGUUUAAAGGGUGCGCAGGCGGUGGAUCAAGUCAGUGGUGAAAUGGUGGGGCUCAACCGUAGCAUUGCCGUUGAAACUGGUUCACUUGAGUGCGGACGAGGCAGGCGGAAUGUGUUGUGUAGCGGUGAAAUGCAUAGAUAUGACACAGAACACCGAUUGCGAAGGCAGCCUGCCAGGCCGCAACUGACGCUGAGGCACGAAAGUGCGGGGAUCGAACAGGAUUAGAUACCCUGGUA
rnacentral:rRNA from 1 species